CUGGUUGAUCCUGCCAGUAGUCAUAUGCUUGUCUCAAAGAUUAAGCCAUGCAUGUCUAARAAUAAACCCUUGAACGGUGAAUCUGCGAAUGGCUCAUUAAAUCAGUUAUUGUUUAUUUGAUGGUACCUUACUACUUGGAUAACCGUAGUAAUUCUAGAGCUAAUACAUGCGCCAAGCCCUGACUUCGGAAAGGGUGCAUUUAUUAGAUUCAAACCAUCGGUCCGUCUGGGCAACUGGGCGUGGCCUUUGAUGGUGAGUCAUAAUAACUUAGCGAAUCGAAUGGCCUUGAGCCGUCGAUGCUUCAUUCAAAUUUCUGCCCUAUCAGCUUUCGAUGGUAGGAUCUUGGCCUACCAUGGCUAUAACGGGUAACGGGGAAUUAGGGUUCGAUUCCGGAGAGGGAGCUUGAGAAACGGCUACCACAUCCAAGGAUGGCAGCAGGCGCGCAAAUUACCCAAUCCCGACACGGGGAGGUAGUGACAAUAAAUAACGAUGCUGGAUUAUUCUUAAUCCGGCAAUUGGAAUGGGAGUGAAUUAAAUCUCCACUCGAGGAACCAUUGGAGGGCAAGUCUGGU
rnacentral:rRNA from 1 species